UACGUAGGUGGCAAGCGUUGUCCGGAAUUAUUGGGCGUAAAGAGCGUGUAGGCGGUCCGGUAAGUCAGCUGUGAAAGUCAAGGGCUCAACCCUUGAAAGCCGGUUGAUACUGUCGGGCUAGAGUCCGGAAGAGGCGAGUGGAAUUCCCGGUGUAGCGGUGAAAUGCGCAGAUAUCGGGAGGAACACCAAUGGCGAAGGCAGCUCGCUGGGACGGUACUGACGCUGAGACGCGAAAGCGUGGGGGAGCAAACAGG
rnacentral:rRNA from 1 species